rnacentral:rRNA from 1 species
AGUCGAGCGGGCGUACAUACGUCAGCGGCAGACGGGUGAGUAACGCGUGGGAACAUACCUUUUGGUUCGGAACACACAGGGAAACUUGUGCUAAUACCGGAUAAGCCCUUACGGGGAAAGAUUUAUCGCCGAAAGAUUGGCCCGCGUCUGAUUAGCUAGUUGGUGAGGUAAUGGCUCACCAAGGCGACGAUCAGUAGCUGGUCUGAGAGGAUGAUCAGCCACAUUGGGACUGAGACACGGCCCAAACUCCUACGGGAGGCAGCAGUGGGGAAUAUUGGACAAUGGGCGUAAGCCUGAUCCAGCCAUGCCGCGUGAGUGAUGAAGGCCCUAGGGUUGUAAAGCUCUUUUGUGCGGGAAGAUAAUGACGGUACCGCAAGAAUAAGCCCCGGCUAACUUCGUGCCAGCAGCCGCGGUAAUACGAAGGGGGCUAGCGUUGCUCGGAAUCACUGGGCGUAAAGGGUGCGUAGGCGGGUCUUUAAGUCAGGGGUGAAAUCCUGGAGCUCAACUCCAGAACUGCCUUUGAUACUGAAGAUCUUGAGUUCGGGAGAGGUGAGUGGAACUGCGAGUGUAGAGGUGAAAUUCGUAGAUAUUCGCAAGAACACCAGUGGCGAAGGCGGCUCACUGGCCCGAUACUGACGCUGAGGCACGAAAGCGUGGGGAGCANACAGGAUUAGAUACCCUGGUAGUCCACGCCGUAAACGAUGAAUGCCAGCCGUUAGUGGGUUUACUCACUAGUGGCGCAGCUAACGCUUUAAGCAUUCCGCCUGGGGAGUACG